rnacentral:ncRNA from 1 species
AGUUUAGAUUGUCGAUGAAAAACGGUAGGGUCUAAACGGUAAUUGCCGAUACUAUGGUUAGUGCGUUGGAGAUCGGAAAGGGAUGGCGAAGACAGAAUCCCUCGCAUGAAAAGUCUGUCGGGU